rnacentral:lncRNA from 1 species
UGCUUCUAGUCGUGGCCGGAGGAUGUGCAGCCUAGCGUUGACUCGUCGGAGGAAGGCAAAGAAGAUGGUGGCUCCAUUGAGUCUACCCUGAUGGUCGGAGAUCGGUGACAGAAGAAACAGAGUCCUCCAGAUCCACUUUCUCUCUCCUCCUUCUCUUUCUCGUCUGUGCUUUAGGGUGGUCCAGUACUGUGGUCCUCUUCGGAUUCGUAUAGAGUCGAACGUUUCUCUACCUACUAUACACCGAGAUCGACUCAUUUAGUGAAAUCAGAUCUCAAAAUCAAUUGUUUCAGACUAUCAUGAGUGUCGAAACUCGAGGCUUUGACGCUAUACUGUGGUAUUUGUCAUCGAAAGAAAUUCCGAAGAAAGGAAAACAAUAG